GACGAACGCUGGCGGCGUGCUUAACACAUGCAAGUCGAACGGAAAGGCCCUGCUUUUGUGGGGUGCUCGAGUGGCGAACGGGUGAGUAACACGUGAGUAACCUGCCCUUGACUUUGGGAUAACUUCAGGAAACUGGGGCUAAUACCGGAUAGGAGCUCCUGCUGCAUGGUGGGGGUUGGAAAGUUUCGGCGGUUGGGGAUGGACUCGCGGCUUAUCAGCUUGUUUGUGGGGUAGUGGCUCACCAAGGCUUUGACGAGUAGCCGGCCUGAGAGGGUGACCGGCCACAUUGGGACUGAGAUACGGCCAAGACUCCUACGGGAGGCAGCAGUGGGGAAUAUUGCACAAGGGGAGGAAGCCGGAUGCAGCAACGCCGCGUGCGGGAUGAAGGCCUUCGGGUUGUAAACCGCGUUCGCCUGUGACGAAGCGUGAGUGACGGUAAUGGGUAAAGAAGCACCGGCUAACUACGUG
rnacentral:rRNA from 1 species